AUCUUUCCCAAGUAAAGAAAGCCAACUUCUUCAAGACACAGGUCAUUCAGCUUAAAGUGUCACCCUCCACCUUCUCCUCGGGCUGUGGGGAGGUACAAAGCCACAAGCUCAAUCCAAAGGAGUGUGCAUGCCUUGGAGGCAGGUCUGCUAGGCGCAAAACUGACAAGGCAGACACUUUGUUUUCACCUCGCUCCUGUCCCACAUACAACGAAAUGCUGUGGAAGCAGACCGUACAGGCAGUCAGGAUGGGGGAGUGCAACCAUAAGCUCAAGGCUCAGGAGUGUGUAUGCUUUGCAGGCCGAUGUCUGCUAGACACUUAUUCAGGGGAGCUAGAACCGAGCUACACUCAACUGAACAAGGACGUAGGCAAUCGCUGUGUUGAACUCAGAUACACGAGAGUGCAGGCCUGUCACUUCCACAGGCUUGUCACAAAACCUUUCCAGCACCUCACGUAAAUAUGCUACGACCUAUGUCUACAGGCAGUCAGGAUGCGGGAGGGUUCUGCCCUGACCUCAGCUCUCACAAGGAAGCAUGCCUAGAAGCCAGCUUUCAACCAGCUGCGUUCUCAUGGCAGUGAGAACGCAGCAGUAUUCUGAGUCAGGAGGUUCCAAGAUUACCACUCUCCUGCACCUGGACAUACCCUCCAGGUCUGCAUUGUUCCACUUGUGUCUCAGAAGCCUCUGACAAACGUCUAUGGUGAAGAUGUUGGAAACUCAUUCUGCAGGCAGUGUGGAACUGUGAGGGACUGAGUGUGAGCUCAACUCUCAGAAGUAAGUUGCCUUUGGACAGGGCGUUCAGCUAGCUUCUCACCUAUGGAACUUAGUAUGUAGCACCAGUCUCAGACAGAAUUACUAGGAAAUCGCUGGAUGAGCUUGGAGGCAUUGUCUUGUGUGCCGGGACAUUCCGCUUACCUCACAACACUUCAGUCACGCAUCGAGCCUAGGCCUGUUUGCAGCGAAGUGUACCUGCAGGCAGGAUGUGGGAAGUACAGGCCAUAAGCUCACACUCAAAAGUGUGUACGCCUGGGAGGCAGAUGUCUGCUAUCCACUCGUACAUGGGAGGUAGAAACUAGCUACACUCUGAUAGAAGAGGGCCGUUGGAAAUCGCUGUAUUCAACUCAGAUACGCGUGAGUUCAGGCCCAACGCUUCCACAUGCUUUUCUCACCACGUCUCCCAGCACCUAACAUAAGGAUGUUAGCCUCUACGUCUACAGUCUGGCAGGAUGCGGGAGGGUCCUGCCCUGAGCUCUGCUCUCAAAAGGAAGCAUGCCUGCAAGCUAGCUUUCCACUAGCUGAUUUGUUAUGGCCGGGAAAAAGAAGCAGCAUUGUAAGUCAGGACGUUCCUUCAAUACCGCUCUACCACCCCUGGAGACACAAACAUUGAAGACUGCACCUUGGCCCUUGCGUCCCACGAGCUUCCGACAAACAAGUCUAGUGAGGAUAUUCGUAAAUCCAUGUGCAGGCAGUGUGGAACUGGGAAGUACCGCGUGUCAGCUCACCUCACAGGAGGAAGUUCCCCAGAGAGAUAGCUUUCAACAAGGUACUCGGGUUUGGAAGUUAGUAUGCAGCUCCCUUCUGAGGGAGGAAUUGCUCAGAAGUCGCUGGAUUGAGCUAAGAGUCACUUGCCGCUCACAAAGCUUGCGUCCCGUAUCGAACGAAAUCCUUUGGAAGCGAAGCAUACAGGCGGUCAACGUGUGGGAGGUACAAACCAUAAGCUCAAUCCAAAGGAGUGUGCAUGCCUUGGAGGCAGCCGUCUGCUAGGCGCGAAACUGACAAGGCAGACACUUGGUUCUCACUUCGCUACUGUCCCGCAUACAACGAAAUGCUGUGGAAGCGGACCGUACAGGCAGUCAGGAUGGCCGAGGUCAAGGCCAUGAGCUCAACUCUCAAACUGUGUAUGCUUUGCAGGCCGAUGUCUGCUAGGCACUUAUUCAGGGGAGCUAGAACCGAGCUACACUCCAACUGAACAAGGACGUUGGCAAUCGCUGUGUUGAACUCAGAUACACGAGAGUGCAGGCCUGUCACUUCCACAAGAUUUUCACAAAACCCCUUCCAGCACCUCACGUACUUAUGCUACGACCUAUGUCUACAGGCAGUCAGGAUGCGGGAGGGUUCUGCCCUGACCUCAGCUCUCACAAGGAAGCAUGCCUAGAAGCCAGCUUUCAACCAGCUGCGUUCUCAUGGCAGUGAGAACGCAGCAGUAUUCUGAGUCAGGAGGUUCCCAAGAUUACCACUCUCCUGCACCUGGACAUACCCUCCAGGUCUGCAUUGUUCCACUUGUGUCUCAGAAGCCUCUGACAAACGUCUAUGGUGAAGAUGUUGGAAACUCAUUCUGCAGGCAGUGUGGACUGUGAGGGACUGAGUGUGAGCUCAACUCUCAGAAGUAAGUUGCCUUUGGACAGGGCGUUCAGCUAGCUUCUCACCUAUGGAACUUAGUAUGUAGCACCAGUCUCAGACAGAAAUGACUAGGAAAUCGCUGGAUUGAGCUUGGAGGCACUUGUCUUGUGUGCCGGGACAUUCCGCUUACCUCUCACAACACUUCAGUCACGCAUCGAGCCUAGGCCUGUUUGCAGCGAAGUGUACCUGCAGGCAGGAUGUGGGAAGUACAGGCCAUAAGCUCAACACUCAAAAGUGUGUACGCCUGGGAGGCAGAUGUCUGCUAUCCACUCGUACAUGGGAGGUAGAAACUAGCUACACUCUGAUAGAAGAAGGCCGUUGGAAAUCGCUGUAUUCAACUCAGAUAGGCGUGAGAUCCGGCCCAACGCUUCCACAUGCUUUUCUCACCACCUCUGCCAGCACCUAACCUAAGGAUGUUAGCCUCUACGUCUACAGUCUGGCAGGAUGCGGGAGGGUCCUGCCAUGAGCUCUGCUCUCAAAAGGAAGCAUGCCUGCAAGCUAGCUUUCCACUAGCUGAGUUGUUAUGGCCGUGAAAAAGAAGCAGCAUUGUAAGUCAGGACGUUCCGUCAAUACCGCUCUACCACCCCUGGAGACACAAACAUUGAAGACUGCCCUUGGCCCUUGCGUCCCACGAGCUUCCGACAAACAAGUCUGGUGAGGAUAUUCGUAAUCCAUGUGCAGGCAGUGGAACUGGGAAGUACCGCGCGUGUCAGCUCACCUCACAGGAGGAAGUUCCCCAGAGAGAUAGCUUUCACAAGGUACUAGGGUUUGGAAGUUAGUAUGCAGCUCCCUUCUGAGGGAGGAAUUGCUCAGAAGUCGCUGGAUUGAGGAAGGUCACUUGCCGCUCACAAAGCUUGCGUCCCGUAUCGAACGAAAUCCUUUGGAAGCGAAGCAUACAGGCGGUCAACGUGGGGAGGUACAAACCAUAAGCUCAAUCCAAAGGAGUGUGCAUGCCUUGGAGGCAGCCGUCUGCUAGGCGCGAACCUGACAAGGCAGACACUUGGUUCUCACUUCGCUACUGUCCCGCAUACAACGAAAUGCUGUGGAAGCAGACCGUACAGGCAGUCAGGAUGGCCGAGGUCAAGGCCAUGAGCUCAGACUCAAACUCUCAAAGUGUAUGCUUUGCAGGCCGAUGUCUGCUAGGCACUUAUUCAGGGGAGCUAGAACCGAGCUACACUCCAACUGAACAAGGACGUUGGCAAUCGCUGUGUUGAACUCAGAUACACGAGAGUGCAGGCCUGUCACUUCCACAAG
rnacentral:lncRNA from 1 species